CCACUUGCUUGCCAGACCUUAAAGUGGUAAUUGUCUGGACUUCAUAGGUCGGAUUUCCAUUAGAAUUGAUUUGAUACUGACCUAUCUGACCUUGAUUUUGUUGUCUACUAGGGUUAGGCACUGGUUGACUAGGUAGUUCACCUUUCUUCCUAUCCCCUAGAGAGUUAGCUAUUUGGCUCAGACUAACCUCAAGUUUUGCAAUUGCUUGCGCAUGGAAUUGGU
rnacentral:lncRNA from 1 species